rnacentral:rRNA from 1 species
AUUGAACGCUGGCGGCAGGCUUAACACAUGCAAGUCGAGCGGAGCGAGGGUGCUUGCACCUUAGCUUAGCGGCGGACGGGUGAGUAAUGCUUAGGAAUCUGCCUAUUAGUGGGGGACAACAUUCCGAAAGGAAUGCUAAUACCGCAUACGCCCUACGGGGGAAAGCAGGGGAUCUUCGGACCUUGCGCUAAUAGAUGAGCAUAAGUCGGAUUAGCUAGUUGGUGGGGUCAAGGCCUACCAAGGCGACGAUCUGUAGCGGGUAUGAGAGGGUGAUCCGCCACACUGGGACUGAUACACGGCCCAGACGCCUACGUGAGGCAGCAGUGGGGAAUAUUGGACAAUGGGCGGAAGCCUGAUCCAGCCAUGCCGCGUGUGUGAAGAAGUCCUUUUGGUUGUAAAGCACUUUAAGCGAGGAGGAGGCUCUUAAGGUUAAUACCCUUGAUGAGUGGACGUUACUCGCAGAAUAAGCACCGGCUAACUCUGUGCCAGCCGCCGCAGUAA